CUGGUUGCUGCCGUAAAACCUCCAAACCACCGCCCCCAUGGUUGUGAUCUCUGACUUUGGAGAAUGUCAGCCUCACAAGGGCCAAAAUGUCCUCUCGGCCACCGCAGUACCUACAACAGCUGGAUCGUGUUGGGCGCAUUGUUCUUUCCUGCUUCUCAGCUGUAGUUGACAAAAACCAUUUCUGGCUGAUUUGAGCAAUGAGGGACUUCAGUAAAUAAAUAUUUGCUAAUGAAUGAAUCCCGA